AUCUAUAGCUGUACUACCCUGAACAAGCCCGAUCCUCUCUAAUCUCAGAAGCUAAGCAAGGUUGGGCCUGAUUAGUACUUGGAUGGGAGACCCCCUAGGAAGACCAGGUGCUAUAGGCA
rnacentral:rRNA from 1 species